rnacentral:rRNA from 1 species
AGCACUGUUUCGGCAAGGGGGUCAUCCCGACUUACCAACCCGAUGCAAACUGCGAAUACCGGAGAAUGUUAUCACGGGAGACACACGGCGGGUGCUAACGUCCGUCGUGAAGAGGGAAACAACCCAGACCGCCAGCUAAGGUCCCAAAGUCAUGGUUAAGUGGGAAACGAUGUGGGAAGGCCCAGACAGCCAGGAUGUUGGCUUAGAAGCAGCCAUCAUUUAAAGAAAGCGUAAUAGCUCACUGGUCGAGUCGGCCUGCGCGGAAGAUGUAACGGGGCUAAACCAUGCACCGAAGCUGCGGCAGCGACACUAUGUGUUGUUGGGUAGGGGAGCGUUCUGUAAGCCUGUGAAGGUGGCCUGUGAGGGUUGCUGGAGGUAUCAGAAGUGCGAAUGCUGACAUAAGUAACGAUAAAGCGGGUGAAAAGCCCGCUCGCCGGAAGACCAAGGGUUCCUGUCCAACGUUAAUCGGGGCAGGGUGAGUCGACCCCUAAGGCGAGGCCGAAAGGCGUAGUCGAUGGGAAACAGGUUAAUAUUCCUGUACUUGGUGUUACUGCGAAGGGGGGACGGAGAAGGCUAUGUUGGCCGGGCGACGGUUGUCCCGGUUUAAGCGUGUAGGCUGGUUUUCCAGGCAAAUCCGGAAAACCAAGGCUGAGGCGUGAUGACGAGGCACUACGGUGCUGAAGCGACAAAUGCCCUGCUUCCAGGAAAAGCCUCUAAGCAUCAGGUAACAUCAAAUCGUACCCCAAACCGACACAGGUGGUCAGGUAGAGAAUACCAAGGCGCUUGAGAGAACUCGGGUGAAGGAACUAGGCAAAAUGGUGCCGUAACUUCGGGAGAAGGCACGCUGAUAUGUAGGUGAAGCGACUUGCUCGUGGAGCUGAAAUCAGUCGAAGAUACCAGCUGGCUGCAACUGUUUAUUAAAAACACAGCACUGUGCAAACACGAAAGUGGACGUAUACGGUGUGACGCCUGCCCGGUGCCGGAAGGUUAAUUGAUGGGGUUAGCGGUAACGCGAAGCUCUUGAUCGAAGCCCCGGUAAACGGCGGCCGUAACUAUAACGGUCCUAAGGUAGCGAAAUUCCUUGUCGGGUAAGUUCCGACCUGCACGAAUGGCGUAAUGAUGGCCAGGCUGUCUCCACCCGAGACUCAGUGAAAUUGAACUCGCUGUGAAGAUGCAGUGUACCCGCGGCAAGACGGAAAGACCCCGUGAACCUUUACUAUAGCUUGACACUGAACAUUGAGCCUUGAUGUGUAGGAUAGGUGGGAGGCUUUGAAGUGUGGACGCCAGUCUGCAUGGAGCCGACCUUGAAAUACCACCCUUUAAUGUUUGAUGUUCUAACGUUGGCCCGUAAUCCGGGUUGCGGACAGUGUCUGGUGGGUAGUUUGACUGGGGCGGUCUCCUCCUAAAGAGUAACGGAGGAGCACGAAGGUUGGCUAAUCCUGGUCGGACAUCAGGAGGUUAGUGCAAUGGCAUAAGCCAGCUUGACUGCGAGCGUGACGGCGCGAGCAGGUGCGAAAGCAGGUCAUAGUGAUCCGGUGGUUCUGAAUGGAAGGGCCAUCGCUCAACGGAUAAAAGGUACUCCGGGGAUAACAGGCUGAUACCGCCCAAGAGUUCAUAUCGACGGCGGUGUUUGGCACCUCGAUGUCGGCUCAUCACAUCCUGGGGCUGAAGUAGGUCCCAAGGGUAUGGCUGUUCGCCAUUUAAAGUGGUACGCGAGCUGGGUUUAGAACGUCGUGAGACAGUUCGGUCCCUAUCUGCCGUGGGCGCUGGAGAACUGAGGGGGGCUGCUCCUAGUACGAGAGGACCGGAGUGGACGCAUCACUGGUGUUCGGGUUGUCAUGCCAAUGGCACUGCCCGGUAGCUAAAUGCGGAAGAGAUAAGUGCUGAAAGCAUCUAAGCACGAAACUUGC